AGAGUUUGAUCAUGGCUCAGAACGAACGCUGGCGGCAGGCCUAACACAUGCAAGUCGAGCGCACCUUCGGGUGAGCGGCGGACGGGUUAGUAACGCGUGGGAACGUGCCCUUCUCUAAGGAAUAGCCACUGGAAACGGUGAGUAAUACCUUAUACGCCCUUCGGGGGAAAGAUUAAUCGGAGAAGGAUCGGCCCGCGUUAGAUUAGAUAGUUGGUGGGGUAACGGCCUACCAAGUCUACGAUCUAUAGCUGGUUUUAGAGGAUGAUCAACAACACUGGGACUGAGACACGGCCCAGACUCCUACGGGAGGCAGCAGUGGGGAAUCUUGGACAAUGGGCGCAAGCCUGAUCCAGCCAUGCCGCGUGAGUGAUGAAGGCCUUAGGGUCGUAAAGCUCUUUCGCCAGGGAUGAUAAUGACAGUACCUGGUAAAGAAACCCCGGCUAACUCCGUGCCAGCAGCCGCGGUAAUACGGAGGGGGUUAGCGUUGUUCGGAAUUACUGGGCGUAAAGCGUACGUAGGCGGAUUAGUCAGUCAGAGGUGAAAUCCCAGGGCUCAACCCUGGAACUGCCUUUGAUACUGCUAGUCUUGAGUUCGAGAGAGGUGAGUGGAAUUCCGAGUGUAGAGGUGAAAUUCGUAGAUAUUCGGAGGAACACCAGUGGCGAAGGCGGCUCACUGGCUCGAUACUGACGCUGAGGUACGAAAGUGUGGGGAGCAAACAGGAUUAGAUACCCUGGUAGUCCACACCGUAAACGAUGAAUGCCAGUCGUCGGGUAGCAUGCUAUUCGGUGACACACCUAACGGAUUAAGCAUUCCGCCUGGGGAGUACGGUCGCAAGAUUAAAAACUCAAAGGAAUUGACGGGGGCCCGCACAAGCGGUGGAGCAUGUGGUUUAAUUCGAAGCAACGCGCAGAACCUUACCAACCCUUGACAUCCUGUGUUACAUCCAGAGAUGGAUGGUUCCCUUCGGGGACGCAGUGACAGGUGCUGCAUGGCUGUCGUCAGCUCGUGUCGUGUGAUGUUCGGUUAAGUCCGGCAACGAGCGCAACCCACAUCCCUAGUUGCCAGCAGUUCGGCUGGGCACUCUAUGGAAACUGCCCGUGAUAAGCGGGAGGAAGGUGUGGAUGACGUCAAGUCCUCAUGGCCCUUACGGGUUGGGCUACACACGUGCUACAAUGGCAUCUACAGUGAGUUAAUCUCCAAAAGAUGUCUCAGUUCGGAUUGUUCUCUGCAACUCGAGAGCAUGAAGUCGGAAUCGCUAGUAAUCGCGUAACAGCAUGACGCGGUGAAUACGUUCCCGGGCCUUGUACACACCGCCCGUCACACCAUGGGAGUUGGUUCUACCCGACGACGCUGCGCUAACCUUCGGGAGGCAGGCGGCCACGGUAGGAUCAGCGACUGGGGUGAAGUCGUAACAAGGUAGCCGUA
rnacentral:rRNA from 1 species